CCUUGACAUGCAGAGAACUUCCAGAGAUGGAUUGGUGCCUUCGGGAACUCUGACACAGGUGCUGCAUGGCUGUCGUCAGCUCGUGUCGUGAGAUGUUGGGUUAAGUCCGUAACGAGCGCAACCCUUGUCCUUAGUUACCAGCACGUUAUGGUGGGCACUCUAAGGAGACUGCCGGUGACAAACCGGAGGAAGGUGGGGAUGACGUCAAGUCAUCAUGGCCUUACGGCCUGGGCUACACACGUGCUACAAUGGUCGGUACAAAGGGUUGCCAAGCCGCGAGGUGGAGCUAAUCCCAUAAAACCGAUCGUAGUCCGGAUCGCAGUCUGCAACUCGACUGCGUGAAGUCGGAAUCGCUAGUAAUCGUGAAUCAGAAUGUCACGGUGAAUACGUUCCCGGGCCUU
rnacentral:rRNA from 1 species